GUGAGUCAUCGAAUCUUUGAACGCACAUUGCGCCCCUUGGUAUUCCGAGGGGCAUGCCUGUUCGAGCGUCAUUACAACCCUCAAGCACUGCUUGGUAUUGGGCUCCGCUAGUUUCAGCGGGCCUUAAAAUCAGUGGCAGCGCCGUCUGAGCUCUGAGCGUAGUAAAUAUCCUCGCUAUAGAGACCAGGUGGUUCUUGUCAUCAACCCCCAACUUUCUAAGUUUGACCUCGGAUCAGGUAGGGAUACCCGCUGAACUUAAGCAUAUCAAUAAGCGGAGGA
rnacentral:misc_RNA from 1 species